UACGAAGGGGGCUAGCGUUGCUCGGAAUUACUGGGCGUAAAGGGAGCGUAGGCGGACAGUUUAGUCAGAGGUGAAAGCCCAGGGCUCAACCCUGGAAUUGCCUUUGAUACUGACUGUCUUGAGUGUGGGAGAGGUGUGUGGAACUCCGAGUGUAGAGGUGAAAUUCGUAGAUAUUCGGAGGAACACCAGUGGCGAAGGCGGCUCACUGGCUCGAUACUGACGCUGAGGUGCGAAAGCGUGGGGAGCAAACAGG
rnacentral:rRNA from 1 species